rnacentral:rRNA from 1 species
CAGGCUUAACACAUGCAAGUCGAGGGGCAGCAUGGUCUUAGCUUGCUAAGGCCGAUGGCGACCGGCGCACGGGUGAGUAACACGUAUCCAACCUGCCGUCUACUCUUGGACAGCCUUCUGAAAGGAAGAUUAAUACAAGAUGGCAUCAUGAGUCCGCAUGUUCACAUGAUUAAAGGUAUUCCGGUAGACGAUGGGGAUGCGUUCCAUUAGAUAGUAGGCGGGGUAACGGCCCACCUAGUCUUCGAUGGAUAGGGGUUCUGAGAGGAAGGUCCCCCACAUUGGAACUGAGACACGGUCCAAACUCCUACGGGAGGCAGCAGUGAGGAAUAUUGGUCAAUGGGCGAGAGCCUGAACCAGCCAAGUAGCGUGAAGGAUGACUGCCCUAUGGGUUGUAAACUUCUUUUAUAAAGGAAUAAAGUCGGGUAUGGAUACCCGUUUGCAUGUACUUUAUGAAUAAGGAUCGGCUAACUCCGUGCCAGCAGCCGCGGUAAUACGGAGGAUCCGAGCGUUAUCCGGAUUUAUUGGGUUUAAAGGGAGCGUAGAUGGAUGUUUAAGUCAGUUGUGAAAGUUUGCGGCUCAACCGUAAAAUUGCAGUUGAUACUGGAUAUCUUGAGUGCAGUUGAGGCAGGCGGAAUUCGUGGUGUAGCGGUGAAAUGCUUAGAUAUCACGAAGAACUCCGAUUGCGAAGGCAGCCUGCUAAGCUGCAACUGACAUUGAGGCUCGAAAGUGUGGGUAUCAAACAGGAUUAGAUACCCUGGUAGUCCACACGGUAAACGAUGAAUACUCGCUGUUUGCGAUAUACUGCAAGCGGCCAAGCGAAAGCGUUAAGUAUUCCACCUGGGGAGUACGCCGGCAACGGUGAAACUCAAAGGAAUUGACGGGGGCCCGCACAAGCGGAGGAACAUGUGGUUUAAUUCGAUGAUACGCGAGGAACCUUACCCGGGCUUAAAUUGCAGAUGAAUUACGGUGAAAGCCGUAAGCCGCAAGGCAUCUGUGAAGGUGCUGCAUGGUUGUCGUCAGCUCGUGCCGUGAGGUGUCGGCUUAAGUGCCAUAACGAGCGCAACCCUCGUUGUCAGUUACUAACAGGUUCCGCUGAGGACUCUGACAAGACUGCCAUCGUAAGAUGUGAGGAAGGUGGGGAUGACGUCAAAUCAGCACGGCCCUUACGUCCGGGGCUACACACGUGUUACAAUGGGGGGUACAGAGGGCCGCUACCACGCGAGUGGAUGCCAAUCCCCAAAACCUCUCUCAGUUCGGACUGGAGUCUGCAACCCGACUCCACGAAGCUGGAUUCGCUAGUAAUCGCGCAUCAGCCACGGCGCGGUGAAUACGUUCCCGGGCCUUGUACACACCGCCCGUCAAGCCAUGGGAGCCGGGGGUACCUGAAGUGCGUAACCGCGAGGAGCGCCCUAGGGUAAAACUGGUGACUGGGGC